ACCUCAGAGCAGGCGAG
rnacentral:rRNA from 8 species